rnacentral:rRNA from 1 species
UACGGAGGGUGCAAGCGUUACCCGGAUUCACUGGGUUUAAAGGGUGCGUAGGUGGGUUGGUAAGUCAGUGGUGAAAUCUCCGAGCUUAACUUGGAAACUGCCAUUGAUACUAUCAAUCUUGAAUACCGUGGAGGUCAGCGGAAUAUGUCAUGUAGCGGUGAAAUGCUUAGAUAUGACAUAGAACACCAAUUGCGAAGGCAGCUGGCUACACGAAUAUUGACACUGAGGCACGAAAGCGUGGGGAUCAAACAGG